UGGCCACUCCUGCUGCCGUCUCCACAGCUCUGGAAUGAUGAAGUGGACAAGGCCGAGCAGGAGCUCCGCGUGGCCCAGACAGAGUUUGACCGGCAAGCAGAAGUGACCCGUCUCUUGCUGGAGGGAAUCAGUAGCACUCACGUGAACCACCUGCGCUGCCUCCACGAGUUCGUCAAGUCUCAGACAACCUACUACGCACAGUGCUACCGCCACAUGCUGGACUUGCAGAAGCAGCUGGGCAGCUCCCAGGGUGCCAU
rnacentral:lncRNA from 1 species